AGAGUUUGAUCCUGGCUCAGGAUGAACGCUGGCGGCGUGCUUAACACAUGCAAGUCGAACGAACCUUCGGGUUAGUGGCGGACGGGUGAGUAACGCGUGGGAAUCUGCCCUCAGGAGGGGGAUAACGGUUGGAAACGACCGCUAAUACCCCAUAUGCCGAGAGGUGAAAUGAAUUUCGCCUGAGGAUGAGCCCGCGUCUGAUUAGCUUGUUGGUGAGGUAAUGGCUCACCAAGGCAUCGAUCAGUAGCUGGUCUGAGAGGAUGAUCAGCCACACUGGGACUGAGACACGGCCCAGACUCCUACGGGAGGCAGCAGUGGGGAAUUUUCCGCAAUGGGCGAAAGCCUGACGGAGCAACGCCGCGUGAGGGACGAAGGCCUCUGGGCUGUAAACCUCUUUUCUCAAGGAAGAAGAUAUGACGGUACUUGAGGAAUAAGCCACGGCUAAUUCCGUGCCAGCAGCCGCGGUAAUACGGGAGUGGCAAGCGUUAUCCGGAAUUAUUGGGCGUAAAGCGUCCGCAGGCGGCCUUUCAAGUCUGCUGUUAAAACGUGGAGCUUAACUCCAUCAUGGCAGUGGAAACUGAUUGGCUUGAGUAUGGUAGGGGCAGAGGGAAUUCCCGGUGUAGCGGUGAAAUGCGUAGAUAUCGGGAAGAACACCAGUGGCGAAGGCGCUCUGCUGGGCCAUUACUGACGCUCAUGGACGAAAGCCAGGGGAGCGAAAGGGAUUAGAUACCCCUGUAGUCCUGGCCGUAAACGAUGAACACUAGGUGUCGGGGGAAUCGACCCCUUCGGUGUCGUAGCUAACGCGUUAAGUGUUCCGCCUGGGGAGUACGCACGCAAGUGUGAAACUCAAAGGAAUUGACGGGGGCCCGCACAAGCGGUGGAGUAUGUGGUUUAAUUCGAUGCAACGCGAAGAACCUUACCAGGGCUUGACAUCCUGCGAACCUUUAAGAAAUUAGAGGGUGCCUUCGGGAACGCAGUGACAGGUGGUGCAUGGCUGUCGUCAGCUCGUGUCGUGAGAUGUUGGGUUAAGUCCCGCAACGAGCGCAACCCACGUUUUUAGUUGCCAGCAUUUAGUUGGGCACUCUAGAAAGACCGCCGGUGAUAAACCGGAGGAAGGUGUGGAUGACGUCAAGUCAUCAUGCCCCUUACGUCCUGGGCUACACACGUACUACAAUGCUACGGACAAAGGGCAGCAAACUCGCGAGAGCUAGCAAAUCCCAUAAACCGUGGCUCAGUUCAGAUCGUAGGCUGCAACUCGCCUACGUGAAGUAGGAAUCGCUAGUAAUCGCAGGUCAGCAUACUGCGGUGAAUACGUUCCCGGGCCUUGUACACACCGCCCGUCACACCAUGGAAGUUGGCCACGCCCGAAGUCGUUACUUUAACCCUUGUGGAGAAGGACGCCGAAGGUGGGGCUGAUGACUGGGGUGAAGUCGUAACAAGGUAGCCGUACCGGAAGGUGCGGCUG
rnacentral:rRNA from 4 species